rnacentral:rRNA from 1 species
GUAGUCAUAUGCUUGUCUCAAAGCUUAAGCCAUGCAAGUCUCAGUACGAGCUUUAUUAAAGUGAAACCGCAAAAGGCUCAGUAAACCGGUCAUAGUUUACCGGAUAAAUGCCACUUACGUGGAUAACUGUGGUAAUUCUAGAGCUAAUACAUGCAAAACAAGUCCCGACCAGCGAUGGAGAGGACGCUUUUAUUGGAUCAAAACCAUUCGCCCGGCUCGUCCGGGCGUCUGCUUGAUGACUCUAGAUAACACCACAGAUCGUACGGUCAUAGUACCGGUGACGUAUCCUUCAAAUGUCUGACUUAUCAGCUGUCGAUGGUAGACUCUGUGUCUACCAUGGCGCUCACGGGUGACGGGGAAUCAGGGUUCGAUUCCGGAGAGGGAGCCUGAGAAACGGCUACCACAUCCAAGGAAGGCAGCAGGCACGCAAAUUACCCACUCCCGGCACGGGGAGGUAGUGACAAAAAAUAACGAUACGGGACUCAUCCGAGGCCCCGUAAUCGGAAUGAGAACAUCCUAAAUCCUUUAACGAGGAUCUAUUGGAGGGCAAGUCUGGUGCCAGCAGCCGCGGUAAUUCCAGCUCCAAUAGCGUAUAUUAAAGUUGUUGCGGUUAAAAAGCUCGUAGUUGGUUCUGCGUGCCACGCUGUCGGUUCACCGCCUGUCGGUGCAACUGGCAUGCCGUGGUAUGUCCUGUCGGUGGCGUACAGGCUUCGCGGUGCUCCCUACACGAUACGUUGUGUAGGUCGUCGCGUCGUACCUGUGCGCCGGCUCAAUCCUACCGCGGUGCUCUUCAUCGAGUGUCGAGGUAGGCCGACACAUUUUACUUUGAACAAAUUAGAGUGCUUAAAGCAGGCUCUUAAAUCAGCCUGAAUAGUGGUGCAUGGAAUAAUGGAACAGGACCUUGGUUCUAUUUUGUUGGUUUUAGGAAUCCAAGGUAAUGAUCAAUAAGGACAGGCGGGGGCAUUCGUAUUGCGACGUUAGAGGUGAAAUU